rnacentral:sRNA from 1 species
UGUGCAGCUCCGCUCAAAGUAUCUCAGGUUCCGGGGCAGAAUCCUGGAAAACCCAACUCGGAGCUGAGUCUGCAGGUGGCUGCAGGGCGGUGCUGCUGAGUCUGCAGUUACCACCACAAAAGGAGGGCCUGAAGGCAUUGCCGGGAGACUAUGGAGGACUCACGGAGCUCUGACACCCCUCACCUGGAGGAGGUGGCUUCCCCCCACCCCCCACUCUGCCUGCACCACCUUUGCCUGGGGCGGCCAAUGCAUGGCAGUGGAGUCAGUAAUCGCCCUUGCUCCUCCCCAGGGUCAAACCCACUGGGGUCUGGGGAUUGAAAUUCUGAGAGGAGUGUAGGAGGAGAGUGUCUCCCCAAAGAAAAUGCAGGAAUGCAUUGGCUUCUAUCACAAAAAUCCUGGGAAUGUUCCUGAGAAGGGAUUUUGGAGAUGCUCGGCCUAGGACUGGCCCUCGGGAAGAUGACCCGACCUUUGUCCUGUGCAGCUGAGUGCUGAACACUGGUCAGCUCUGGAUAAAGCCUGAUGUCACCGAGCUGAUGGCGGGGCGUCUGCACUGAACACCUUCCAGCUUGGUGGGGGCACGGGAACCAGCUGUCCUCAUUAAAAGUGACCUGGAGUGAGAUGGAUUCUUCUGCCUAUACCUCCACGCGUGGGCUCCCUGAACACCCCCAUCGCCAUGGGCUCCCAAGAAGUAUUGCUGCUGGCUGCAGGGCUCACUGCAAUGCUGCGACAGGAGGUGACAGGCCAAGGCCAGCAGGUGACUGCUCUCCCCAGAGGCCCUGUCAGCUGGAAGCAGCUGGUUUCACAUAACAGAGACCCCAGGCCCAGGUCCCCUGGAUGCAGGAGGAUUUGCGGCUGCCCUUUUGGAAGAGUUCCUGUUCCAGGUGCUGACUUUUAUGAUCUACAUUGUGAGCACUGUGUUCUGCGGGCACCUGGGCAAGGUGGAGCUGGCAUCGGUGACCCUCGCGGUGGCCUUUGUCAAUGUCUGCGGAGUUUCUGUAGGAGUUGGUUUGUCUUCGGCAUGUGACACCUUGAUGUCUCAGAGCUUCGGCAGCCCCAACAAGAAGCACGUGGGCGUGAUCCUGCAGCGCGGCGCGCUGGUCCUGCUCCUCUGCUGCCUCCCUUGCUGGGCGCUCUUCCUCAACACCCAGCACAUCCUGCUGCUCUUCCGGCAGGACCCGGACGUGUCCAGGUUGACCCAGGACUAUGUAAUGAUUUUCAUUCCAGGACUUCCGGUGAUUUUUCUUUACAAUCUGCUGGCAAAAUAUUUGCAAAAUCAGAAGAUCACCUGGCCCCAAGUCCUCAGUGGUGUGGUGGGCAACUGUGUCAACGGUGUGGCCAACUAUGCCCUGGUUUCUGUGCUGAACCUGGGGGUCAGGGGCUCCGCCUAUGCCAACAUCAUCUCCCAGUUUGCACAGACCGUCUUCCUCCUUCUCUACAUUGUGCUGAAGAAGCUGCACCUGGAGACGUGGGCAGGUUGGUCCAGCCAGUGCCUGCAGGACUGGGGCCCCUUCUUCUCCCUGGCUGUCCCCAGCAUGCUCAUGAUCUGUGUUGAGUGGUGGGCCUAUGAGAUCGGGAGCUUCCUCAUGGGGCUGCUCAGCGUGGUGGAUCUCUCUGCCCAGGCUGUCAUCUACGAGGUGGCCACUGUGACCUACAUGAUUCCCUUGGGGCUCAGCCUCGGGGUCUGUGUCCGAGUGGGGAUGGCUCUGGGAGCUGCGGAUACUGUGCAGGCCAAGCGCUCGGCCGUCUCGGGCGUGCUCAGCAUAGAGAUGUCAUUGCCCUGGUGAGCCAGGUCUUGCCGGUUUAUAGUGUCUUUCACGUGUUUGAGGCCAUCUGUUGUGUCUAUGGCGGAGUUCUGAGAGGAACUGGGAAGCAGGCCUUUGGUGCCGCUGUGAAUGCCAUCACAUAUUACAUCAUCGGCCUACCACUGGGCAUCCUUCUGACCUUUGUGGUCAGAAUGAGAAUCAUGGGUAUGUGGUGUGAGGAAGUCGGGAGAGGCCUGGGUGGUCGUCAGACAUUGUUCCCAUCAUCACUUGUCUCCUCCAGGCCUCUGGCUGGGCAUGCUGGCCUGUGUCUUCCUGGCAACUGCUGCCUUUGUUGCUUAUACUGCCCGGCUGGACUGGAAGCUUGCUGCAGAGGAGGCUAAGAAACAUUCUGGCCGGCAGCAGCAGCAGAGAGCAGAGAGCACUGCAACCAGACCUGGGCCUGAGAAAGCAGUCCUAUCUUCAGUGGCUACAGGCAGUUCCCCUGGCAUUACCUUGACAACGUAUUCAAGGUCUGAUUGCCACGUGGACUUCUUCAGGACUCCAGAGGAGGCCCACGCCCUUUCAGCUCCUACCAGCAGACUAUCAGUGAAACAGCUGGUCAUCCGCCGUGGGGCCGCUCUGGGGGCGGCGUCAGCCACACUGAUGGUGGGGCUCACGGUCAGGAUCCUAGCCACCAGGCACUAGCGAAGAAGCUUGGAAAUAGAAAGCCAGGAGUGGCUGUCCCCAGUAUGCAAACACACCACGGUAUGCCCUGCAAAAACACCAAUGGGGUCUAGUGCAGGUGGACACUUUGAACCACUCCUCAAAAAAAGAACUUUGGCUGAUUCCUUGUGGUGACACUCAGAGGGGUCUGAACAGAGCAGACUUGACAAUUCUGUUCUGGUCAAGCUGGAGUUUUCUUCUGUGACUUGGACUGCUCUACAGAAGACAUCAGCUAACUGCACAAGUCAGAGUCCAGGGAUUGUCACUAUUAUUAAUAAUGUAAAUGGCUUCAAAUGGGACACUGCAGAUAAAAUCACAAAAACCACUGUUAUAUUAAAGAUUACACAUUUCCUAGGCA